ACUAACCGCAGCACAGAUGUCAGGCCGAGAGGUAAUUGCAAGGUACUGCAGGCAUCCUAGAAGCUCUUUGAAGGGAUGAGUGGUUGAUUCAUCAUCCGCUGUCUCUCGCCAUUGAACGUUCGGAUUCAGGGGUGUACCAAUGGGGUUGCAUUCGGACAUUCCAAACCUUUUUAAUAUCUUUUCGGUAUAACCUAGACGCAAACAUAUUCCGGUGAACAUCGGAUGCGCAUUCGGCUUUGACCAUCCGAUGUUCAUACCUGUGAACAUCGAACGUUCAAAUUUCGUAAAAUUUACCAACACAAUUAAAACUUAUUUCAAUGUAUGUGUGAACCUCCCUAUCGAGCUGCUCUCUUCUUCUUUAACUUUGUUUCAAUAGCGGGGUUUCUUCCUUCAUCGCGUUUGACAGUUGGAUUUUGCUUUGGUUGCGCAACGUUUUGUUUUGCCCGGAAUAAAUCCGUCAUUUUCCGGAUCUUUCAUUAAAAUUAACGCCAAGCAGUGUGGCUUCUUCAGCCUCAGCCGGACAGGCUGGCCAGCUGAAUACGAUCGACCCAAACCUGCAGAUCUCGCUGGAUCAGUUUCAGCUGCAGGCCACCACGCACCCGGCGCAGUUGGCCAAGUAACGGCUGCGGGCGGAAGCUAGCAGUAGCAACCCAAGUUUGUGUUCAACGUGGACGCAGCAGCCCCAAACGGGAGGUCCGCCGAUGUUGAUUCCGGUUGACGCGUCCGGAAUGCGCACGAAGAUAGCCAAAAAAAAGUGACAAGUAACGCAAGGAGAAGAACCGGCUGGCCGGAGUACGACAGGCGCCUGCAGGUCAACAAAGUGCAGCUGCAGCGGCCACCGUUCCUGGAGGAUACCAGUUUGAGGCUAGUCCCGCUCCGGCACCCAUUCAAUACCCUGGCUGGAAACGUCGUCCAGGAGCGUCAAAUUGACGUGGACUCGGAGACCGAUUCCAACCAUAUGUUAUUGCAAUAACAUACUA